UACGAAGGGGGCUAGCGUUGCUCGGAAUUACUGGGCGUAAAGCGCACGUAGGCGGAUUGUUAAGUCGGGGGUGAAAUCCUGGAGCUCAACUCCAGAACUGCCUUUGAUACUGGCAAGCUUGGAGUCCGGGAGAGGUGAGUGGAACUGCGAGUGUAGAGGUGAAAUUCGUAGAUAUUCGCAAGAACACCAGUGGCGAAAGGCGGCUCACUGGCCCGGUACUGACGCUGAGGUGCGAAAGCGUGGGGAGCAAACAGGG
rnacentral:rRNA from 1 species